CGGAUGCUGACGAGUGGCGAACGGGUGAGUAAUACAUCGGAACGUGCCCGAUCGUGGGGGAUAACGGAGCGAAAGCUUUGCUAAUACCGCAUACGAUCUACGGAUGAAAGCAGGGGACCGCAAGGCCUUGCGCGGACGGAGCGGCCGAUGGCAGAUUAGGUAGUUGGUGGGAUAAAAGCUUACCAAGCCGACGAUCUGUAGCUGGUCUGAGAGGACGACCAGCCACACUGGGACUGAGACACGGCCCAGACUCCUACGGGAGGCAGCAGUGGGGAAUUUUGGACAAUGGGCGAAAGCCUGAUCCAGCCAUGCCGCGUGCAGGAUGAAGGCCUUCGGGUUGUAAACUGCUUUUGUACGGAACGAAAAGACUCCUUCUAAUAAAGGGGGUUCAUGACGGUACCGUAAGAAUAAGCACCGGCUAACUACGUGCCAGCAGCCGCGGUAAUACGUAGGGUGCAAGCGUUAAUCGGAAUUACUGGGCGUAAAGCGUGCGCAGGCGGUUAUAUAAGACAGAUGUGAAAUCCCCGGGCUCAACCUGGGAACUGCAUUUGUGACUGUAUAGCUAGAGUACGGCAGAGGGGGAUGGAAUUCCGCGUGUAGCAGUGAAAUGCGUAGAUAUGCGGAGGAACACCGAUGGCGAAGGCAAUCCCCUGGGCCUGUACUGACGCUCAUGCACGAAAGCGUGGGGAGCAAACAGGAUUAGAUACCCUG
rnacentral:rRNA from 1 species